UCCGAGUUACCCCGGCAGUCUCCUAUGAGUCCCCACCAUUACGUGCUGGCAACAUAGGACGAGGGUUGCGCUCGUUGCGGGACUUAACCCAACACCUCACGGCACGAGCUGACGACAGCCAUGCAGCACCUAGUUUCGUGUCCUUGCGGAAAUCCUGCUUUCACAGGACGUCACUAACUUUCAAGCCCAGGUAAGGUUCCUCGCGUAUCAUCGAAUUAAACCACAUGCUCCUCCGCUUGUGCGGGCCCCCGUCAAUUCCUUUGAGUUUCAAUCUUGCGACCGUACUCCCCAGGUGGAUAACUUAAUGCUUUCGCUUAGACGCUAACAGUAUAUCGCUAACAUCGAGUUAUCAUCGUUUAGGGCGUGGACUAC
rnacentral:misc_RNA from 1 species